UGCUGUGCAGAAUACACCUCUAGAUUAGUUGCAAGAGAAGAUUUGCUUAAGUUCAACUGCCGGGCGACGUCAGUGGAGAACACCUUGGAGCAAAUCCUCCAUACUGUUUUCUUCAUGCUCGGCCCGCCACUGAUGGAUAAUCUGUUCACCUUCAACAGUCUUUGUUCCAGCCUAUCUAGGUCUGCAGUAGAUGCUAGAGGAAAGACACCACCCUCUUCCUCUUCAGCCAUCAGCAUUUGGG